GACGAACGCUGGCGGCGUGCUUAACACAUGCAAGUCGAACGGAAAGGCCCUGCUUUUGUGGGGUGCUCGAGUGGCGAACGGGUGAGUAACACGUGAGUAACCUGCCCUUGACUUUGGGAUAACUUCAGGAAACUGGGGCUAAUACCGGAUAGGAGCUCCUGCUGCAUGGUGGGGGUUGGAAAGUUUCGGCGGUUGGGGAUGGUCUCGCGGCUUAUCAGCUUGUUGGUGGGGUAGUGGCUGACCAAGGCUUUGACGGGUAGCCGGCCUGAGAGGGUGACCGGCCACCAUGGGACUAAGAUACGGCCCAGACUCGUACGGGAGGCAGCGGUGGGGAGUAUUGCACAAUGGGCGGGCGCCUGAUGCAGCGACGCCGCGUGCGGGAUGACGGCCUUCGGGGUGUAAACCGCUUUCGCCUGUGACGAGGCGUGAGUGACGGUAAUGGGUAAAGAAGCACCGGCUAACUACGUG
rnacentral:rRNA from 1 species